AUUUUCAUAAAAGAAACUGAUGUCAUCAUGUAAGAAUUGGAGGCAAAGAAAUAUGGUAGAUUUGGAAAGCCUGGGACCAGCUUGCCCCUUGCAGGCUCAGGAUCAAUCAUCCCACAGAC
ensembl:snoRNA LOC120101256 small nucleolar RNA SNORA38